CCUACGGGAGGCAGCAGUUGGGAAUCUUGGACAAUGGGGGAAACCCUGAUCCAGCCAUGCCGCGUGAGUGAUGAAGGCCUUCGGGUUGUAAAACUCUUUCGACGGGGACGAUAAUGACGGUACCCGUAGAAGAAGCUCCGGCUAACUUCGUGCCAGCAGCCGCGGUAAUACGAAGGGGGCUAGCGUUGUUCGGAAUUACUGGGCGUAAAGCGCGCGCAGGCGGUCUUCCAAGUCAGUGGUGAAAGCCCGGAGCUCAACUCCGGAACUGCCAUUGAAACUGUAAGACUUGAGGACGAGAGAGGUGAGUGGAAUUCCCAGUGUAGAGGUGAAAUUCGUAGAUAUUGGGAAGAACACCGGUGGCGAAGGCGGCUCACUGGCUCGUAUCUGACGCUCAGGCGCGACAGCGUGGGGAUCAAACAGGAUUAGAUACCCUGGUAGUCCACGCCGUAAACGAUGAAUGCUAGCCGUUGGGUAGCUUGCUAUCAGUGCGCAGCUACGACAUAAGUACAUUCCGUCCGUCGGGGUAGGUACGGGCCGGCCGAAGGUUAGGUAAACGUACGAAAGGAAAGUUAAGGUACGGCGUUGAGACGUUGCCGAACGGACGACGACGAGGGGAGGUUAGG
rnacentral:rRNA from 1 species